rnacentral:rRNA from 1 species
CCAGACUCCUACGGGAGGCAGCAGUGGGGGAUAUUGCACAAUGGGGGAAACCCUGAUGCAGCGACGCCGCGUGGGUGAAGAAGCGCCUCGGCGCGUAAAGCCCUGUCAGCAGGGAAGAAAAUGACGGUACCUGAAGAAGAAGCCCCGGCUAACUACGUGUCAGCAGCCGCGGUAAUACGUAGGGAGCAAGCGUUAUCCGGAUUUACUGGGUGUAAAGGGCGCGUAGGCGGGAUGGCAAGUCAGAUGUGAAAUCCAGGGGCUCAACCCCUGAACUGCAUUUGAAACUGUCGUUCUUGAGUACUGGAGAGGUUGACGGAAUUCCUAGUGUAGCGGUGAAAUGCGUAGAUAUCAGGAGGAACACCAGUGGCGAAGGCGGCCUGCUGGACGAUGACUGACGUUGAGGCUCGAAAGCGUGGGGAGCAAACAGGAUUAGAUACCCGGGUAU